rnacentral:rRNA from 1 species
UACAGAGGCCUCGAGCGUUAGGCGGAAUCACUGGGCUUAAAGCGUGUGUAGGCGGACUUCUAAGUGCCUUGUGAAAUCCCACGGCUCACCCGUGGAACUACUGGGCAUACUGGGAGUCUUGAGCCACCUAGGGGCGAGCGGAACAAAUGGUGGAGCGGUGAAAUGCGUAGAUAUCAUUUGGAACGCCAACGGAGAAAUCAGCUCGCUGGGGGUGUGCUGACGCCGAGACACGAAAGCCAGGGGAGCGAACGGG